GGGGCUAUAGCUCAGUGGCAGAGCUCUUACCUAGCAUGUGUGAGGCACUGGGUUUGAUCCUUAGCACCA
rnacentral:tRNA from 1 species